UUUAAAUCGGCCAAGUCUGGUAAGCAGGACUGGCGAUGCGGGAUGAACCGAACGUCGAGCUAAAGUGCCAAAAAGAAACAUGACGAGCACCAUAAAAGGUAUUCAUUCCUUUGGACAAUAGGACGGUGGCCAUGGAAGUCGGAAACCGCUAAGGAGUGUGUAACAACUCACCUAUCGAAGGAAUGAGUCCUGAAAAUGGAUGGCAUUAUAAUUUCUUACACUGAUACUCGACCGUUAUAAUGAAGAGAUUAUAACGAGUAAGGAAACGAAAUGGCGUAGAGGUAACAAGAGAGUUGUGAAGGUUAGAAGUAAUUCUGACUCAAACUAUCUCUAGUGCUGAUCUUGGUGGUAGUAGCAAAUACUAAGAAGAAGUAAUAACAUCUUAGAACUGAAGAGGAG
rnacentral:rRNA from 1 species